rnacentral:rRNA from 1 species
CCUACGGGAGGCAGCAGUAGGGAAUAUUGCCCAAUGGGGGAAACCCUGAAGCAGCAACGCCGCGUGGAGGAUGAAGGUUUUCGGAUUGUAAACUCCUUUUGUUAGAGAAGAUAAUGACGGUAUAUAACGAAUAAGCACCGGCUAACUCCGUGCCAGCAUCCGCGGUAAUACGGAGGGUGCAAGCGUUACCCGGAUUCACUGGGCGUAAAGAGCGCGUAGGCGGGAGAGCAAGUCAGAUGUGAAAGCCUAUGGCUUAACCAUAGAACUGAUUUUGAAACUGUUAUUCUAGAGUAUGGGAGAGGUAGGUGGAAUUCUUGGUGUAGUGGUAACAUCCGUAGAGAUCAAGAGGAAUA